rnacentral:rRNA from 1 species
GUGCCAGCAGCCGCGGUAAGACGAACCGAGCGAACGUUGUUCGGAAUCACUGGGCUUAAAGGGCGCGUAGGCGGGCUGCCAAGUUUGGGGUGAAAUCCUCCGGCUCAACCGGGGAAGGGCCUCGAAUACUGGCGGUCUGGAGGGAGGUAGGGGCGUGCGGAACUGUAGGUGGAGCGGUGAAAUGCGUUGAUAUCUACAGGAACUCCGGUGGCGAAGGCGGCACGCUGGACCUUUUCUGACGCUGAGGCGCGAAAGCCAGGGGAGCGAACGGGAUUAGAUACCCCGGUAGUCC